rnacentral:rRNA from 1 species
CAAUAGCGUAUAUUAAAGUUGUUGCAGUUAAAAAGCUCGUAGUUGGAUUUCUGGAUCGAACGCUUCGUCCGCCGCUGUGCGGUGUGUACUGAGGUUUUGUUUCGAUUCAUCCUUGCAGGGAAGCGAGUUCGAGAUUAAUUUGUCGGCUCGGGGAACUGCAUCUUUUACUGUGAAAAAAUUAGAGUGUUUAAAGCAGGCAUUUUGCUGUGAAUACAUUAGCAUGGAAUAAUAACAUAGGACUUUGGUUCUAUUUUGUUGGUUGGAGGCCAAGGUAAUGAUUAAUAGGGACAGUUGGGGGUAUUCAUAUUUAAUUGUCAGAGGUGAAAUUCUUGGAUUUAUGAAAGAUGAACUCAUGCGAAAGCAUUUACCAAGGAUGUUUNCAUUA